UGCCAGCAGCCGCGGUAAUACGAAGGGUGCAAGCGUUAUCCGGAUUCAUUGGGUUUAAAGGGUGCGUAGGUGGGGCGAUAAGUCAGUGGUGAAAUCUUGCGGCUUAACCGUAAAAUUGCCAUUGAUACUGUCGCUCUUGAGUACGCUUGACGUGGGCGGAAUGUGCCGUGUAGCGGUGAAAUGCUUAGAUAUGGCACAGAACACCGAUAGUGAAGACAGCUCACGAAGGCGAAACUGACACUGAGGCACGAAAGCGUGGGGAUCGAACAGGAUUAGAUA
rnacentral:rRNA from 1 species